rnacentral:rRNA from 1 species
UUUUCCCUGGAACCUUAGCAUAUCAAUAAGCGGAGGAAAAGAAACCAACAGGGAUUACCUCAGUAACGGCGAGUGAAGCGGUAAUAGCUCAAAUUUGAAAUCUGGCUUCGGUCCGAGUUGUAAUUUGUAGAAGAUGCUUCGGGUGUGGCUCCGGUCUAAGUUCCUUGGAACAGGACGUCAUAGAGGGUGAGAAUCCCGUAUGUGACUGGGUGCCUUCGCCUAUGUGAAGCUCUUUCGACGAGUCGAGUUGUUUGGGAAUGCAGCUCAAAAUGGGUGGUAUAUUUCAUCUAAAGCUAAAUAUUGGCCAGAGACCGAUAGCGCACAAGUAGAGUGAUCGAAAGAUGAAAAGCACUUUGGAAAGAGAGUUAAACAGUACGUGAAAUUGUUGAAAGGGAAGCGUUUGCAAUCAGACUUGCACGUUGCCGAUCAUCUGGUGUUCUCACCAGUGCACUCGGUUUCGUUCAGGCCAGCAUCGGUUUGGGUGGUUGGAUAAAGGCCUUGGGAAUGUAGCUUCUUUCGGGGAGUGUUAUAGCCCUCGGUGCAAUGCAGCCUACCUGGACCGAGGACCGCGCUUCGGCUAGGAUGCUGGCGUAAUGAUUGUAAACGACCCGUCUUGAAACACGGACCAAGGAGUCUAACAUCUAUGCGAGUAUUUGGGUGUUAAACCCAUAUGCGUAAUUAACGUGAACGGAGGUAAGAGCCCUUAAGGGUGCAUUAUCGACCGGUCCUGAUGUCUUCGGAAGGAUCUGAGUAAGAGCAUAGCUGUUGGGACCCGAAAGAUGGUGAACUAUGCCUGAAUAGGGUGAAGCCAGAGGAAACUCUGGUGGAGGCUCGCAGCGGUUCUGACGUGCAAAUCGAUCGUCAAAUUUGGGUAUAGGGGCGAAAGACUAAUCGAACCAUCUAGUAGCUGGUUCCUGCCGAAGUCUCCCCUCCCAGAAUAAACGUCCCG